rnacentral:pre_miRNA from 14 species
UGCUGAAGAGAGCCGUCUGUUGACAGUUCACUAUGGACGCUGUCAUGGAGUCGCUCUCUUCAGAGAC